UCAUAUCAGUAUCAGACUUUAGUUUAGGGGGUCUCCCUCUGCCUCGAGGCUUAGAUGAUGGCUGUUGCUCAUCUUGAUGCUGAGGAUCUUUGUUCAAAGGUGCUUUUGGUUUAGGAGAUCUUUCCAUGCUAGAAAGGUCAAGCUGCUGCUCUGGAUCUUUGUGCCAUUCAAGAAAAGCAGGUGAUUCAACAGAAUGUAACUUGGCUUCCAUUUGUUGAUUAGAGAGAAUCAUAUCAGUAUCAGACUUUAGUUUUCGGGGUCUCCCUCUGCCUCGAGGCUUAGAUGAUGGCUGUUGCUCAUCUUGAUGCUGAGGAUCUUUGUUCACAGGUGCUUUUGGUUUAGGAGAUCUUUCCAUGCUAGAAAGGUCAAGCUGCUGCUCUGGAUCUUUGUGCCAUUCAAGAAAAGCAGGUGAUUCAACAUAAUGUAACUUGGCUUCCAUUUGUUGAUUAGAGAUAAUCAUAUCAGUAUCAGACUUUAGUUUACGGGGUCUCCCUCUGCCUCGAGGCUUAGAUGAUGGCUGUUGCUCAGGAUCUUUGUUCACAGGUGCUUUUGGUUUAGGAGAUCUUUCCAUGCUAGAAAGGUCAAGCUGCUGCUCUGGAUCUUUGUGCCAUUCAAGAAAAGCAGGUGAUUCAACAGAAUGUAAUUUGGCUUUCAUUUGUUGAUUAGAGAGAAUCAUAUCAGUACUAGACUUUAGUUUACGGGGUCUUCCUCUGCCUCGAGGCUUAGAUGAUGGCUGUUGCUCAUCUUGAUGCUGAGGAUCUUUGUUCACAGGUGCUUUUGGUUUAGGAGAUCUUUCCAUGCUAGAAAGGUCAAGCUGCUGCUCUGAAUCUUUGUGCCAUUCAAGAAAAGAAGGUGAUUCAACAGAAUGUAAUUUGGCUUCCAUUUGUUGAUUAGAGAGAAUCUGUGGGUGAGGAUGCUGCUCUGACAAUAGAUCACAAAUAAGUUCCUUCUGUUCACAAGGGCUUGUAAU
rnacentral:lncRNA from 1 species